GACGAACGCUGGCGGCGUGCUUAACACAUGCAAGUCGAGCGGUAAGGCCCUUCGGGGUACACGAGCGGCGAACGGGUGAGUAACACGUGGGUGAUCUGCCCUGUACUUCGGGAUAAGCCUGGGAAACUGGGUCUAAUACCGGAUAUGACCUUACAUCGCAUGGUGUUUGGUGGAAAGAUUUAUCGGUACAGGAUGGGCCCGCGGCCUAUCAGCUUGUUGGUGGGGUAAUGGCCUACCAAGGCGACGACGGGUAGCCGGCCUGAGAGGGCGACCGGCCACACUGGGACUGAGACACGGCCCAGACUCCUACGGGAGGCAGCAGUGGGGAAUAUUGCACAAUGGGCGAAAGCCUGAUGCAGCGACGCCGCGUGAGGGAUGACGGCCUUCGGGUUGUAAACCUCUUUCGACAGGGACGAAGCGCAAGUGACGGUACCUGUAGAAGAAGCACCAACUACGUGCCAGCAGCCGCGGUAAUA
rnacentral:rRNA from 1 species